CCUACGGGAGGCAGCAGUGGGGAAUAUUGGGCAAUGGGCGCAAGCCUGACCCAGCAAAGCCGCGUGAAGGAAGAAGGCUUUCGGGUUGGAAACUUCUUUUAUCAGGGACGCAGCAAGUGACGGUACCUGCUGAAUAAGCCACGGCUAACUACGUGCCAGCAGCCGCGGCAAUACGUAGGUGGCAAGCGUUAUCCGGAUUUACUGGGUGUAAAGGGCGUGUAGGCGGGAGUGCAAGUCAGAUGUGAAAACUAUGGGCUCAACCCAUAGCCUGCAUUUGAAACUGUACGUCUUGAGUGCUGGAGAGGCAAUCGGAAUUCCGUGUGUAGCGGUGAAAUGCGUAGAUAUACGGAGGAACACCAGUGGCGAAGGCGGAUUGCUGGACAGUAACUGACGCUGAGGCGCGAAAGCGUGGGGAGCAAACAGGAUUAGAUACCCGUGUAGUC
rnacentral:rRNA from 1 species